rnacentral:misc_RNA from 1 species
AAAACCCAAAUCAAUAUUAGGGGAAACUCCCUGUGUCUACACCUCUCUCUCUCUCUCUCUGUCUGCGCGAUCUAAAGAGCCAACACUCUAAAAUCGUAGCUUUUCACCAGCACGGAUCUCUCUUUUCUUUCCGAUCUCUUAAAACCCGUGAGAGUUAUCUAUCGAUUUGUUCUUCAUCAGAUUUCAACAGGACAUCUCUCUCCCUGAAACUCUUUUU